UAAGAAUUGUAUGCGGUGCUAUGAAGUCU
rnacentral:sRNA from 1 species